rnacentral:rRNA from 1 species
AUUGAACGCUGGCGGCAGGCUUAACCCAUGCAAGUCGCGCGAGCGGCGGACGGGUGAGUAAUGUAUGGGGAUCUGCCUGAUGUAGGGGGAUAACUACUGGAAACGGUAGCUACUACCGCAUACCAUCAGAUGUGCCCAUAUGGGAUUAGCUAGUAGGUGGGGUAACGGCUCACCUUGGCGACGAUCCCUAGCUGGUCUGAGAGGAUGAUCAGCAAAAGUGGAACGGAGACACGGCCCAGACUCCUACGGGAGGCAGCAGUGGGGAAUAUUGCACAAUGGGCGCAAGCCUGAUGCAGCCAUGCCGCGUGUGUGAAGAAGGCCUUCGGGUUGUAAAGUACUUUCAGUCGGGAGGCGUUACCGACAGAAGAAGCAACGGCUAAAUACGGGCCAGCAGCCGCGGUAAUUC